rnacentral:rRNA from 1 species
ACUCCUACGGGAGGCAGCAGUGGGGAAUAUUGCACAAUGGGCGCAAGCCUGAUGCAGCCAUGCCGCGUGUAUGAAGAAGGCCUUCGGGUUGUAAAGUACUUUCAGCAGUGAGGAAGGUGGAGUCGUUAAUAGCGGCCUCAUUUGACGUUAGCUGCAGAAGAAGCACCGGCUAACUCCGUGCCAGCAGCCGCGGUAAUACGGAGGGUGCGAGCGUUAAUCGGAAUUACUGGGCGUAAAGCGCAUGCAGGUGGUUUGUUAAGUCAGAUGUGAAAGCCCGGGGCUCAACCUCGGAAUUGCAUUUGAAACUGGCAGACUAGAGUACUGUAGAGGGGGGUAGAAUUUCAGGUGUAGCGGUGAAAUGCGUAGAGAUCUGAAGGAAUACCGGUGGCGAAGGCGGCCCCCUGGACAGAUACUGACACUCAGAUGCGAAAGCGUGGGGAGCAAACAGGAUUAGAU